UACGGAGGAUCCAAGCGUUAUCCGGAUUUAUUGGGUUUAAAGGGUGCGUAGGCGGCUUUGUAAGUCAGUGGUGAAAGCCUGUCGCUUAACGACAGAACUGCCAUUGAUACUGCAGAGCUUGAAUAUGUUUGAAGUGGGCGGAAUGUGUAGUGUAGCGGUGAAAUGCUUAGAUAUUACACAGAACACCAAUUGCGAAGGCAGCUCACUAAACCAUUAUUGACGCUGAGGCACGAAAGUGUGGGGAUCAAACAGG
rnacentral:rRNA from 1 species